rnacentral:rRNA from 1 species
GACGAACGCUGGCGGCGUGCCUAGUACAUGCAAGUCGAGCGAAUGGAUUAAGAGCUUGCUCUUAUGAAGUUAGCGGCGGACGGGUGAGUAACACGUGGGUAACCUGCCCAUAAGACUGGGAUAACUCCGGGAAACCGGGGCUAAUACCGGAUAACAUUUUGAACCGCAUGGUUCGAAAUUGAAAGGCGGCUUCGGCUGUCACUUAUGGAUGGACCCGCGUCGCAUUAGCUAGUUGGUAAGGUAACGGCUCACCAAGGCAACGAUGCGUAGCCGACCUGAGAGGGUGAUCGGCCACACUGGGACUGGGACACGGCCCAGACUCCUACGGGAGGCAGCAGUAGGGAAUCUUCCGCAAUGGACGAAAGUCUGACGGAGCAACGCCGCGUGAGUGAUGAAGGCUUUCGGGUCGUAAAACUCUGUUGUUAGGGAAGAACAAGUGCUAGUUGAAUAAGCUGGCACCUUGACGGUACCUAACCAGAAAGCCACGGCUAACUACGUGCCAGCAGCCGCCGUAA